UGCCCCGGCGACGCGGGUUGCUGUGGUUCCGCGCCGCGCUGGGAGUUUGGGGUUGGUCCCAGCCGCCCGCUGGAACAGAGUGGCCUCGGACGCUGCAGGUGGCAAUCACCCAGACCCUAGGCCGGCAGUGAGACGCCUGCAUACCUGUCAGGUGGAGGAGGACAGACAGAGCAGGAACGGGGACCUGGCCUCUGCAGCUCAACCCCCGCGUCGGUUCCUGGUUCACCCGAGAACAGAGAACAGCCGGUCCAGCGUGUCUCCCGGCAUGAGGAACACGAGCAAGGAGCUGCACGGCGCCGCAAGCCGCUAUGCUCCCUGCGAUUGGUAUUACCACCUUCCUGUGAAGCAGUCUGAGAAAGCCGUGGAUGCCCCGCCAGCGUCCCAGAUCCCAGGCCUCAGUGACCUGAGGGCAGCCCCCAGUGGGCACACGCCCGGGGCACGAAGGUGCUUGGUGAAGGAAACGGACUCAGAGUACGUGAAGCUGGCGAAGCAACGUGGCCAGCCCGAUCUGUUGAAGCACUUUGCCCCCGGGACCAGUAAGGGCUCCCCCGUGGCCUACUCCUUGCCAGACUGGUACGUCCACCACAGCCAGCCGCCGACGGCCGACCGGAGGCAGGUCCCCGCUGCGUCCAUACCGGAUUACAUGGUUUAUGAAGAGUCUAACCGCGAUCACGCCAGUGGCAACUACGAGUCCAGAAGGGGGCCCUUCGACUUUGACAUGAAGACGGUUUGGCAAAGAGAGGCAGAGGAACUGGUAAAGGAGAAAAAAAAGGUGAGGCUACCAGCCAUCAAGUCCAAGUAUCCGAGCAAAGCCGGGACCCCGCUUGGCCCCAAAGACCCUGCAGGAAGCAAACUAUCCUUUCCCCCCAUGCCUGGUCAAAAAAUCAGUUCACCCACAAACGUUUCCAAACUUAUUAGCAAUGGAUAUAACGCUGAGUGGUUACAGCAGCAAGCAGACCGAGACAAGAGGACCCUGCAGACAUCCAAGGCCUCUGCUUCGUCUCUGUCCCAGUCUCCGUGGGACGCCGAGCCGCCCCCAGACCCGGAGGCUCCGGAAGGCGCCAAGGAAGGCCCAGAGUCUUCUCCUCCAAGUGAGUAUUUAUAGAGAAACUGACCUGCAACCAAGUAUAAAAAGUGUCUCAGACACAAAAACAAUUGAUGGACAUAGUUCUUCAAUCUGGAGAUGAUGCAUCUCAGAAGCCUGUGAGGUCCCUCUCCAAACCACCCAUGUUCUAACUACAAAAGCUGGUGAUAUCUAUGUCUUUAAAAAGUCAGAGUUCUAGGACUUCCCUGGCGGUCCAGUAGUUAAGACUCCGCGCUUCCAUUGCAGGGGGCACAAGUUCCAUCCCUGGUCAGGGAACUAAGAUCGGCAUGCUGCGCAGAGGGGCCAAAAAAAAAAAGAAAAGAAAAGAAAAAAAAAAGUCAGACUUCUAGAAACACAGUUUGGGGACAGCAAAAGAAGGACCACUUACAUUAUUACAACAGAAUUAUUCUUUUAUGCAUAUCACACAAGAUAAAGCAUAUUUCAGUUUACCUCAGAGGCAUACAUUUUAUUAGACACUACGUGAGAAAUGUGGGUUUAAAUAAUGGUAAAGAAGUGAAAGGCCAGGAGAGGCCUCUAAUUUAAAUACAGGUGCCCCUAUAUACACUACCAAACGUAAAAUAGAUAGCUAGCGGGAAGCAGCCGCAUAGCACAGGGAGAUCAGCUUGGUGCUUUGUGACCACCUAGAGGGGUGGGAUAGGGAGGGUGGGAGAGAGGGAGACGCAAGAGGGAGGGGAUAUGGGGAUAUAUGUAUAUGUAUAGCUGAUUCACUUUGUUAUACAGCAGAAACUAACACAACAUUGUAAAGCAAUUAUACUCCAAUAAAGAUGUUAAAAAAUAUAAAUAAAUAAAUACAGAUGCCCCAGGCACAGAGACCCACCUGCACAGGGUCUCUGAGGGUUUUUAGUAUUGUUUUUCUGCAUGGUCUUAAGUAGAUAGAAUUUACCUCACCACCACCAAAAUAUCUGAUCUGGUCUAGGAACUGUCGUUGGACAUUAAGGUGAUACACUUUCUCCUGGGAAAUAAAUCACUGCAGUGCUAUAUACUCCACGUGUUUAAAUUAGCAGCAAGACCCUCUUAAUCUCAGAGGAAAUUUUUAACAGCUCAAAAUCAGUGGAAGACUAAGUAGGCUUGGUAAAGCCCCUGUAACCUGGAAGAAUCACCGUCUGGCUGAGCAGACCUGCCUCUGCGCAUGUUCUGGGUCGCCGAGGUGUCACUGCCCGGGUGCCGUCCCGCCCUCCCCAGAACUUCAGAUCCGGCCGCGGCACGCUGGGGCUGACCUCGGCCACUCGCUGCCCUCUGUCUCCCGUUCCUCCUCCUCUGUCCAUCCUGGAUUUUAACGUGAUGAACAGCAAUCGCCCACCUGAGCUUGCCUUUUCCGACCCGAGCCGGCCGCUGCAAGUGUCCGGACCUCAUCAAGGCUUCUUUAGUGUGUUUUCCCUCCACCUGUCUUAGGAUUGUCAUUUUUCACUGCAAUUUUUGCAGCCGCUCGAGGUGUUCCUGACACGCCAGAUAGCUAGCUGGCCUUUUAGAUGAGUGGCACCGUUAACGCGGGUGCGCAGGGUGCGGUGUCGGGGUGCACGGUGGGGGCCGGGCAGCAUCCCCUGGGGCCGCAACAGCCCGGUGGAGCUGAGCCGCCCCCCUGCCCAGGCCGCGCCCCACUGCGCGUUCAGCUCCGCCCUCCUGUGUCAGCAGAACCUUCCCGGCACUUGCAGGCUUGACUCAGCGAUCACCAGCCGCCUGCAAGUUGGAGGCUGAUGUUUCCGACGUGCGAUUUGUGGCUGCGGGUAGGACCGUGCACUAGACUUUUGUGUAGACUUCAGUAACAAUCCUUAUAAAUAGGUGCAGAGGUCCAGUAGCACCUCCAACUGCCUCAGCGCCCGCGGAGCGCAGAUAAACCCCGCUGUGAUGUGCAGCUAGGACCUAUGUAACAGCUAUAGUUAUAAGGCUCCUGUUACAGUUUGUUAACAUAGAUUCUCACGAAAUGAUCCAUCUUAGAACAGAUUUGACGUCGCUGCUGCGUAGAUGGUGCCAGUGUUGGGUUUUGUUUCUUGCAUCCCUCUGGGACGCCAGGCGCAUGGGCUUUGCGCCACUGCGCCUCGCUGGCCUGGGAAGUCCCAGGGUCUCGGAACAGGCCACUGCCUUCCCACCCUCGGCCGACGUCACCACCCGCGUGUGAGCCUCUACUGGCACUACUUCUGUUGAAAUCUACGGUUUAGACUCUUAACCGGAAAUAACUCACCCAAAAGCUUUUUCACUAUUUGGUCCUGUAAUCUUUGUAGGAAUAAUUUUUCUGUUACAAAAAGUAUUUAAUUCCAGAAUAUUGUGCAAUAGUUUAUAUUAAGAAACAGAUUAAUUUAUUAUGCCUUGAAAUUUUAAACAUUUAGUAUGAAAACAUUGUAGCAUUUGCUAGUUUUAAAUGUUUGAAAAUAUUUUUGGCAUAAACUGAAAUCCAUAAUAGUGAAAAUUUAUUAUUUUGUAUUAAGUAAAAAUAUGUUUAAUUUAAAUAUUUAAUUUAGUAGUCUUAACAAAUAUGUUUUACUACUCAGACAAUUCUCUCAGUUUAUAAAUUUCAUUGCUAUUUGUAUGUAAUUAGCAUAAAAAUGUAGUUUUAUAUUUUGUACAUUUAAUUCACUCAUAAAAUAAUAAUAUUCUGCUGGAAGAUUUUCAGAGAGCCAACUAAGUUCAGAGAUGUUUUAGCUUCUUUCCCAGAAUAAACUUAUCAUGCAUUUGCUCACGUAAAA